AAGGGUUGUAUAGAUACUACUCAAAGUUCUGUUACUCCAACUUGUAUCAAAGAAAAAGCAUCAGUUUUAAUCUCUAAUGUAAUCAAAUCAUAUUUUUUUCCAGAGUAUUGUCCUGUGCAUCAAAUCAAAACAAAUGAAAAUCUGAAUUAUUUGUGUUAUGAUAUGGUUCAGCUUAGAAUUGAGGGUUUUAUAUCUAAUAAUGAAAUGACUGCAUAUGUCAGAGGAGCUUCAGUAGUCUCCAGAACCACAUGCUCUCCAGGGUUUCAGGAAGAACCAGUGUUAUUUCACAUCAAAUUCCUCUGCCAUUUUGUCUUCCUCUUUCUUUGUCUUCUGUCUCAGUGUAAGUAACCUACCUAAGGCAUUAGUUAGCUUUCCUGAAGUUCUCAGUUAAUUGCAAACACUGGGGAUUGUAUUACUCAGGGGUAGCCACAACAAUAUAUCUCCCAUUCCACACUUUCUGGCAGUUUGAUGUUGCCUCUUCUCCACCAAAAAGUCAAGUUUUUUUCUCUUUGUUUUUGAUUCUUGGAGUGUCUGAUGAUUGUCUAAACCAAUAGAAUACAUAGGGGAAGAAAGUCUUUGGCUCAGGUUUACUUUAAACCAGACUGGCAGCUUUUGUACAUUUGGAACAUCUUGCAUAUUUGUCCAUGGGAUGUUCUUACUUUUAAUGCAGCCAACAUGCUGUGAAAAACCUAAGCUCAAUGGAGAGGGUUUGUGGAUGUGCUUUUCUGU
rnacentral:lncRNA from 1 species